AGGGCAAGUCUGGUGCCAGCAGCCGCGGUAAUUCCAGCUCCAAUAGCGUAUAUUAAAAUUGUUGCAGUUAAAAAGCUCGUAGUUGAAUUUCUGCUGCAUCGCGUCUUCUUUUUGAUGAGUUGGCGUAUUGCGGCUUUUUUCGGAUGAUUUUUUUGUCCGGAUGAUUACUUUGAGAAAAUUAGAGUGCUCAAAGCAGGCUUUUGCCUUGAAUAGUUUAGCAUGGAAUAAUAAAGUAGGACUUUGGUUCUAUUUUGUUGGUUUUAGGUACCAAAGUAAUGGUUAAUAGGAACAGUUGGGGGCAUUCGUAUUUAACUGUCAGAGGUGAAAUUCUUAGAUUUGUUAAAGACGAACUACUGCGAAAGCAUUUGCCAAGGAUGUUUUCAUUAAUCAAGAACGAAAGUUAGGGGAUCGAAGACGAUCAGAUACCGUCGUAGUCCUAACCAUAAACUAUGCCGACUAGAGAUUGGAGGUCGUCAGUUUAUACGACUCCUUCAGCACCUUGAGAGAAAUCAAAGUCUUUGGGUU
rnacentral:rRNA from 1 species